CGUGCGAGCGCAGUUUGACUUGAGCAAUCGUGGGCUUGGACUCCGUCACAUUUGCUUUCGUCAUAUGCGAGUCAGGGGCUUGCCGACAGAUGAGUUGAGAUGUACACAUCAACGCCAGCUCACAAAGCAUCUGAUACGGCAAUCAGCCAGCCACCUCCGCAGAUGGAGAAUUCUGCAGUUUCCAAUCAUACUGUUUCUGUUGUCCUUGGUAGAGAUGUUGAUUGUACACAGAGGGAAUAUAUUGUAGGACAAUAAAAAUAACUUGUCAUGACAAGGGCCAUAUAUGGUAGAAAUUAUAGUAGACUAUGACCAGCAUUAGCGCAAGCCCUGCGGUAUCUAAAAAAUGGAUAAAGUGCUGAUUUUCAUAUGCUA